rnacentral:rRNA from 1 species
ACCUACGGGAGGCAGCAGUGGGGGAUAUUGCACAAUGGGGGAAACCCUGAUGCAGCGACGCCGCGUGAGCGAUGAAGUAUUUCGGUAUGUAAAGCUCUAUCAGCAGGGAAGAAAAUGACGGUACCUGACUAAGAAGCCCCGGCUAACUACGUGCCAGCAGCCGCGGUAAUACGUAGGGGGCAAGCGUUAUCCGGAUUUACUGGGUGUAAAGGGAGCGUAGACGGCAGUGCAAGUCUGAAGUGAAAGGCAAGGGCCCAACCCUUGGACUGCUUUGGAAACUGUGCUGCUGGAGUGUCGGAGAGGCA